ACGUGCUACAAUGGCAUAUACAAAGAGAAGCGACCUCGCGAGAGCAAGCGGACCUCAUAAAGUAUGUCGUAGUCCGGAUUGGAGUCUGCAACUCGACUCCAUGAAGUCGGAAUCGCUAGUAAUCGUAGAUCAGAAUGCUACGGUGAAUACGUUCCCGGGCCUUGUACACACCGCCCGUCACACCAUGGGAGUGGGUUGCAAAAGAAGUAGGUAGCUUAACCUUCGGGAGGGCGCUUACCACUUUGUGAUUCAUGACUGGGGUGAAGUCGUAACAAGGUAACCGUAGGGGAACCUGCGGUUGGAUCACCUCCUU
rnacentral:rRNA from 1 species